UGCAGUCGAACGGAAGGCCCAGCUUGCUGGGUACUCGAGUGGCGAACGGGUGAGUAACACGUGGGUGAUCUGCCCCUGACUUUGGGAUAAGCCUGGGAAACUGGGUCUAAUACCGGAUAUUCAUUUUUCCUCGCAUGGGGAUUUGUGGAAAGCUUUUGCGGUUGGGGAUGGGCCCGCGGCCUAUCAGCUUGUUGGUGGGGUAAUGGCCUACCAAGGCGACGACGGGUAGCCGACCUGAGAGGGUGAUCGGCCACACUGGGACUGAGACACGGCCCAGACUCCUACGGGAGGCAGCAGUGGGGAAUAUUGCACAAUGGGCGCAAGCCUGAUGCAGCGACGCCGCGUGAGGGAUGACGGCCUUCGGGUUGUAAACCUCUUUCAGCUCCGACGAAGCGCAAGUGACGGUAGGAGCAGAAGAAGCACCGGCCAACUACGUGCCAGCAGCCGCGGUAAUACGUAGGGUGCAAGCGUUGUCCGGAAUUACUGGGCGUAAAGAGCUCGUAGGCGGUUUGUCGCGUCGUCUGUGAAAUUCUGCAGCUUAACUGCAGGCGUGCAGGCGAUACGGGCAGACUUGAGUACUACAGGGGAGACUGGAAUUCCUGGUGUAGCGGUGAAAUGCGCAGAUAUCAGGAGGAACACCGGUGGCGAAGGCGGGUCUCUGGGUAGUAACUGACGCUGAGGAGCGAAAGCGUGGGUAGC
rnacentral:rRNA from 1 species